AUUUAACGCUUGCGGCAGGCCUAACACAUGCAAGUCGAACGAGUGGCGGACGGGUUAGUAAUGUCUGGGAAACUGCCUGAUGGAGGGGGAUAACUACUGGAACCGGUAGCUACUACCGCAUACCAUCAGAUGUGCCCAGAUGGGAUUAGAUAGUUGGGGGGGUAACGGCGCACCAAGGCGACGAUCCCUAGCUGGUAUGAGAGGAUGACCAGCCACUCUGGAACUGAGACACGGUCCAGAAUCCUACGUGAGGCAGCAGUGGGGAAUAUGGCACAAUGGGCGCAAGCCUGAUGCAGCCAUGCCGCGUGUAUGAAGAAGGCCUUCGGGUUGUAAAGUAUUUUCAGCGGGGAGGCGUUACCCGCAGAAGAAGCACCGGCUAACGCCGUGCCAGCAGCCGCGGUAAUAC
rnacentral:rRNA from 1 species